UACGUAGGUCCCGAGCGUUGUCCGGAUUUAUUGGGCGUAAAGCGAGCGCAGGUGGUUUAUUAAGUCUGGUGUAAAAGGCAGUGGCUCAACCAUUGUAUGCAUUGGAAACUGGUAGACUUGAGUGCAGGAGAGGAGAGUGGAAUUCCGUGUGUAGCGGUGAAAUGCGUAGAUAUUAGGAGGAACACCAGUGGCGAAGGCGGCUUACUGGACAGUAACUGACGUUGAGGCUCGAAAGCGUGGGGAGCAAACAGG
rnacentral:rRNA from 1 species